GAAAGUUUGGAUCCCCAUGAAACCCUACUAUACCCAAGCUUACCAGGAGAUCUGGGUAGGAACGGGGUUGAUGGCCUACAUCGUUUAUAAAAUCAGGAGUGCUGAUAAACGAAGUAAAGCCUUGAAAGCUUGUCAGUGCGGGCUGGCGUGAUGACUGCAGUCCGCUCUUCCCCCCCUAAACUGUCUCUGCAUUGUGCUUCUCUUCGGAAAGCUUCCAGCGCCGCUCCGGCUCAUGGUCAUCAUUAACCAGCUUUCCACGGACGGGACACCGGCCUGGCUCUGCUGUGGGAACAUGGGACUCCGUGUUGACGUGCUGCGGUGCCGCUGCCCUCGGGCCUGAAUAAACAUACCUGUGAGACCCA